GUCGUGCACCUCACGGAAAGGAAAUGUGCAGCACAACAGCUAGUAGGUGAAACGUCAAACCCAUUCGAUUUCUCUCUCUCAGAAGUCAGACCCAUUCGAUUUCUUCUCCCUCAGGCCCUCUUUGUCGUGCACCUCACAGACCCAUUCGAUUUCUCACUCUCAAACCCUCUUUGUCGUGCACCUCAACCACUGCUUGCUUGUCGAUCACCACUGCUGAUUAGUUCUUCUUCUUCUUGCUCGGCGCCGAUAGGACCACUUCACUAUCAAGUACUUGCAUUCGUCCUUACAUUUUUGUAGAUCCAUCUUUCAUUUCUUCUGGACAUAACUCUCAAAAAGUUAAAACUCGAAACCUGUAUAGUAGACUAAUGGUCUCAAAAGCAAACCAAAUAGUUCUUGCUCCUUUUAAUCUUGGUGAUCAUUAGGUACUACUUCCUAUAAAUGUCUAUGAUGAUACUGUGUAUUACCUAGACUCAAUAAGGACAACAUCACAAGUAGAUAUAAGAUACAUAAUUGACAC